rnacentral:rRNA from 1 species
AGUGAACGCUGGCGGUAGGCCUAACACAUGCAAGUCGAACGGCAGCACAGUAAGAGCUUGCUCUUACGGGUGGCGAGUGGCGGACGGGUGAGGAAUACAUCGGAAUCUACUUUUUCGUGGGGGAUAACGUAGGGAAACUUACGCUAAUACCGCAUACGACCUACGGUUGAAAGCAGGGGAUCUUCGGACCUUGCUCGAUUUAAUGAGCCGAUGUCGGAUUAGCUAGUUUGCGGGGUAAAGGCCCACCAAGGCGACGAUCCGUAGCUGGUCUGAAAGGAUAAUCAGCCACACUGGAACUGAGAAACUGUCAAGAAUACUAAGGGAGGCAGCAGUGGGGAAUAUUGGAAAAUGAGCGGAAGCCUGAUCAAGCCAUACCGCGUGGGUGAAGAAGGCCAUCGGGUUGUAAAGCCCUUUUGUUGGGAAAGAAAAGCAGCAGGUUAAUACCCCGAUGUUCUGACGGUACCGAAAGAAUAAGCACCGGCUAACUUCGUG